ACUGCUCUCUCACUGAUCCUUUCUGGACUAAAAGGGGGCCUGAGCUGAUCUGCUGGCAUCUUGCAGUUUUCUGAACUUCUCAGCUUUUUCUCGCUCUAUGGCCUGCAGCAUGAGAGCAAAGAUGAGUAAUUCAAUACAAGGACUGUGAAUCUACACAAUAAUUAUAACUUCUACUUGCCCUUUCAAGCCUUAAGAUGUUUCACUCUGUCAGCU
rnacentral:lncRNA from 1 species